UACGUAGGUGGCAAGCGUUAUCCGGAAUUAUUGGGCGUAAAGCGCGCGCAGGCGGUUUCUUAAGUCUGAUGUGAAAGCCCACGGCUCAACCGUGGAGGGUCAUUGGAAACUGGGAAACUUGAGUGCAGAAGAGAAAAGCGGAAUUCCACGUGUAGCGGUGAAAUGCGUAGAGAUGUGGAGGAACACCAGUGGCGAAGGCGGCUUUUUGGUCUGUAACUGACGCUGAGGCGCGAAAGCGUGGGGAGCAGACAGG
rnacentral:rRNA from 1 species